rnacentral:rRNA from 1 species
UACAGAGGGGGGCGAGCGUUUGUUCGGAAUUACUGGGCGUAAAGGGCGCGUAGGCGGCCCGCUAAGUCGAACGUGAAAUCCCCAGGCUCAACCUGGGAACUGCGUCCGAUACUGGCAGGCUUGAAUCCGGGAGAGGGAUGUGGAAUUCCAGGUGUAGCGGUGAAAUGCGUAGAUAUCUGGAGGAACACCGGUGGCGAAGGCGGCAUCCUGGACCGGUAUUGACGCUGAGGCGCGAAAGCUAGGGGAGCAAACGGG